CAACUCCUAGGGACAGUGGAAAUGCACCACACCUGGUGGUGGUAGGUGAUGGUGCUAAGUAGCUGAAAGGCAGGUUGUGCUUAAUAUACAACAGUGGCAACUUGUGAUUUAGCACCAAGUUCAAGGGCUUAAAGGCUAUAAUUCUUGUUCUUUUGACUGAGGAUCUUGACAACCAGCCUUACCAACGUUUGUGUUAUUUGAAACUUCACGGAACUCUCUCAUCGGCGAAUAGGGGUUUUCAUUAUGUAAAGCAUAUGCAGAAGAAGCCAGUGGUCUAACGUGAUCUAGUACUUAAAGAAACAAAGGAGUCAGACCUGGUGACCUGAGUUCAAGUCCUAGGAUCCACAGAAAGAUGGAAGAAGAAAUCAAGAAAGAAACAGAACUUAGAGAUAUAAAUCCAUGUAAAAUAACAUAAACACUCACCAUAGACAUACCGAGACACACACAGCAUCUGUGCUGAAAACCCUCAAUAUCUCUUACAAAAGAAAUGAAAAAUGACCCAGAAUGACACAUCCCGCUUCAGGCUAGAAGUCUGAACAGAGCCAACAUUCUAGCUCUUCUCCAAAUGGGUAUGCAGAUUCUGUAGAAUUUCAUUCCAAUUCCCAAUGACAUGAAUGUAGACACAGACAAAUCUAUUUCAGAUUUUCUUUCAACCGGGCAUGGUGGCACAAGCCUUUAAGACCAGCACCCAGGCAGCAGAGGUAGGUGGAUCUCUGUGAGCUGGUCUACCAAUAGGGGCUGCAUAGGGAGACACUGUCUAAUAAAUAAAUGAAGAAAAAUCAAUCUAAAUAAAUAAAUUGAAAACAAAAUUUAAAAUGCCUGUUAUAAUACCUGGAAUAAUCUUUGAAGUUGUUUGAGAUUUUUGUUUUUGUUUUGAUUGGCCAUUCC